UACAGAGGGUGCAAGCGUUAAUCGGAAUUACUGGGCGUAAAGCGUGCGUAGACGGUUAUGUAAGUCAGGUGUGAAAGCCCAGGGCUCAACCUUGAAAUUGCAUUUGAGACUGAAUAGCUAGGGUGCGGAAGAGGGAAGCGGAAUUUCCGGUGUAGCGGUGAAAUGCGUAGAUAUCGGAAGGAACACCAGUGGCGAAAGCGGCUUCCUGGUCCAGCACCGACGUUCAGGCACGAAAGCGUGGGGAGCAAACAGG
rnacentral:rRNA from 1 species